rnacentral:rRNA from 1 species
UACGUAGGGUGCAAGCGUUAAUCGGAAUUACUGGGCGUAAAGCGUGCGCAGGCGGUUUCGUAAGUCUGUCGUGAAAUCCCCGGGCUUAACCUGGGAAUGGCGAUGGAGACUGCGAGGCUAGAGUUUGGCAGAGGGGGGGUAGAAUUCCACGUGUAGCAGUGAAAUGCGUAGAGAUGUGGAGGAACACCGAUGGCGAAGGCAGCCCCCCUGGGUCAAAACUGACGCUCAUGCACGAAAGCGUGGGGAGCAAACAGG